UGCUCAGCAACUCCUAUCCCUACCUCCACGCGGUACCUGCCGGAAACUAUGAGCAACCUUAAGGAAGAUCGGGUAACCAACCCCGGUGGGAACUUUGGUCGUAGGCUGACAGGGAAGG
rfam:Aedes albopictus isolate Foshan contig28802, whole genome shotgun sequence.